rnacentral:rRNA from 1 species
UACGAAGGGGGCUAGCGUUGCUCGGAAUCACUGGGCGUAAAGCGCACGUAGGCGGAUUCUUAAGUCGGGGGUGAAAUCCUGGAGCUCAACUCCAGAACUGCCUUCGAUACUGGGAAUCUUGAGUCCGGAAGAGGUGAGUGGAACUGCGAGUGUAGAGGUGAAAUUCGUAGAUAUUCGCAAGAACACCAGUGGCGAAGGCGGCUCACUGGCCCGGUACUGACGCUGAGGUGCGAAAGCGUGGGGAGCAAACAGG